GACGAACGCUGGCGGCGUGCCUAAUACAUGCAAGUUGAGCGCUGAAGGAUGGUGCUUGUACCCACUGGAUGAGCAGCUAACGGGUGAGUAACGCGUGGGGAAUCUGCCUUUGAUCGGGGGACAACAUUGGGAAACGAAUGCUAAUACCGCAUAAUAACUUUAAACACAAGAUUCAAGUGUGAAAGAUGCAAUUGCAUCACGCAAAGAUGGUCCCGAGUUGGAUUAGCUAGGUGGGGAGGUUAAGGCUCACCCAGGGGAAGGUACCUAGCCGGCCUGGAAGGGUUGUCGACCCCAUUUGGAACUGAGACAGGCCCCAGCCUCCUACGGGAGGCGGCAGUGGGGAUUUUUGGACAUUGGGCGCAAGCCUAACCCAGCACGCCCGCUUGGGUGAGGAAGUUUUCCGGUUUUUAAACUCCUUUUGUAGGGAAAGACGUUGGGGAGGGUAAAACGCUCAUCUAGUGACGGUACCUAACCAGAAAGCGACGGCUAACUACGUG
rnacentral:rRNA from 1 species